GGCUUCGUGGCCCAAUGGCAAGGCGUCUGACUACGAUAAAGAACACCAAACCAAUUGGGUUCUUCACAGUAAUCAGGAGAUUCUGGGUUCGACCCCCAGCGAGGUCA